CGGACCGAAGGGUCCCUUGUGAAAUCGGACGGCUUAACCGUUCGGCUUGCAGGGGAAACUUUUGGUCUUGAGGCUGGUAGGCGCCGAGGGUACUCCGGGGGUAGCAGUGAAAUGCUAUAAUCCUUGGGGGACCGCCAGUGGCGAAAGCGCUCGGCGAGGCCAGACCUGACGGUGAGGGACGAAGGCCAGGGUAGCGAACCGGAUUAGAUACCCGGGUAGUCCUGGCUGUAAAGGAUGUGAGUUAGGUGCUAGGCGUUCCUCGAGAGCGUCCGGUGCCGAAGGGAAGCCAUUAAGCUCACCGCCUGGGAA
rnacentral:rRNA from 1 species